rnacentral:rRNA from 1 species
AUGCGGCGCAAGCCUGAUGCAGCCAUGCCGCGUGUGUGAAGAAGGCCUUCGGGUUGUAAAGCACUUUCAGCCUGGAGGAAAGGUUAGUAGUUAAUACCUGCUAGCUGUGACGUUACUGACAGAAGAAGCACCGGCUAACUCCGUGCCAGCAGCCGCGGUAAUACGGAGGGUGCGAGCGUUAAUCGGAAUUACUGGGCGUAAAGCGUACGCAGGCGGUUUGUUAAGCGAGAUGUGAAAGCCCCGGGCUCAACCUGGGAACUGCAUUUCGAACUGGCAAACUAGAGUGUGAUAGAGGGUGGUAGAAUUUCAGGUGUAGCGGUGAAAUGCGUAGAGAUCUGAAGGAAUACCGAUGGCGAAGGCAGCCACCUGGGUCAACACUGACGCUCAUGUACGAAAGCGUGGGGAGCAAACAGGAUUAGAUACCCUGGUAGUCCACGCCGUAAACGAUGUCUACUAGAAGCUCGGAGCCUCGGCUCUGUUUUUCAAAGCUAACGCAUUAAGUAGACCGCCUGG